AUGAGAGGAGCCCGUACUUGGCUUUUUAGGGUUUCACCUAAUAGCCAUCACCCUCUUUCUCUCUCAUCAGUCCCUCUCUCUCUCCUCCCCUCUCCUCCCCUCUCCUCCCCAUCAUUCACCAGCUUCUUUCUCCUCUCCUCCGUCAAUCUGAGUUUUCAAAACACUUGUGCUCUUUCUCUCCUCCUCCGUCCUCCUACUCCUUGUUCCUCCUGCUCUUAUAGAGAAAUUAUGGUUGAUGGGUAUGUGAAAAAGUGUUCGAACAUUUUAUUACGGGCGGGGCACAAUGCGAAGAAAAAGAAAUCAGUGUUAAUUUGUUGUUCCUCUUAUAGUGAAUUCUAGAUAUUGGAUCAAGAUAGCGGCGAAUUGUCAAAAACUACUGAAGAACAAUUCUUAUAAUUUGGGAUAUCUUUGCCUAAAACUUCAACCAUUUUAGAUCUUGAGGCUAUUACAGAUAAUAUUUGACGGAUAUUGCGAUAUGGCAGUGAGACAGGUUGCUAGUAUUCAUUUCAAGAACUUUAUUGCCAAGAAUUGGUCGCCUCGAUCAUGAUCUUAGUUCGUUUCCUUUCGUGUAGUGAGGAGCAAUCAAAGAUCUCACCGGCUGAUAAAGCCUUGGUAAGAGAAAAUAUCCUUGUGUUUGUGGUUCAAGUUCCACCGCUUUUGAGGGUGUAGUUUGGCGAGUGCCUCAAAACAAUUAUCCAUGUUGAUUACCCUGAGCAGUGGCCUGGCCAUUGGGUGAAGCAUAAUUUGCAAGAUCAACAGGUCUAUGGUGCUCUGUUUGUUUUGCGGAUUCUCGCUAGAAAAUAUGAGUAAGUACAUGAUUGCUGAUUAUGUAUGGUAUAUUGCGGUAUCAUCACAAAAAAAUAAAGCAAAUCAUAUGUUGUUUUAUUCUUUUGGGUUUUCUCUGAUUCUAGUUGCUCCUCAUCAAGUAAGUGGAGUUGCUUACCUAAUUCUCUAUUGGCUAGUACAGUCAAAAGUCAAAUUAGAUAAUAUGCUAGCUUGACAGUGUAUUCAUGUUCAACAAGCACUAUAUUUGAUUUUACAAAAAGUUUACAUGUUUCUUGAUUAAUGCUUAAUACAAAAAAAAAAGUUCUCUAGUGUUUUUGCAUAGGCAGACUGAUAAAUUUUAGCAGUCAUUUGCCCCAUUUUUUUCCUUAUUGUGCUUGCUUUAUGAGCUCCAAAUGGUAUGUAAUUUUUACCAUGAUUCUUCUUCUUCCAAUUCCGAAUGACGAUAAAUCUGCUCCUUCUUUGAAGUCUAAGAAUUAUCGUCUUUUUGGUAGAGAUAAGCCUGUUCAUAAGGUCCUUGGUGGUGGUUAACGUAUGUUUCUUCUGUUUUCGAUUUUUAUUUAUUUUUUUUACUGCAUGUUGUUUGUAUCUUCUAAAUUUGCUUGUUUUCCGUACAAAUUAUGCGAAAUUGAUGAUUGUUUUUAGCUUGAUUGUUGUUGAUUAAUGGAGAAUAGGAGUAAUUUUGAUUGUAAUUAUUGAAUGUUUUGUUUGUAUGCUUAAUUGUUUAGACUGAAGUUUGGGAUUUAAUCAUAUUUGGACAUAGAUCUAAUAAUUUAUGAUAUGAUUACUUAACAUUUUUCUGCAAAUCUACAAUUCUUUGUUAUUUUAGCUUUUUAUAAUUUACUUGGGACACCCUCAAGUGAUGCAGCAGAUUUGUUGCAGCAGCUAUCUCUGGAAUCUCAUACCAAAUCUCUUUGGUUCUCGCAAUGUUAUCCGAGUAGAGUGUUCGUUCUAUCUUUUUCAAGUGGUAGUUGUUCGUGGCUUUGCAGAUGGAGUCCAUGUCCGAGGGCUCAUUCAUUACUUUUGUAUGCACUUCACCAAAGCUUCACCACACUAUACAAAUUCUAAAGCCAAUCGCUUACCUAAUCAGUUGCUUCAGGGAAUCUGAGAGUAGCUUCUGGAAUGUAGUGUGUUCAUUUGUGAGCAGCUGCUUUGUUUUGAGAUUUGCUUUUGCUUUGUUUUUAGUUUUAGUUAUAUUAAGAAAUAAUUAAAUUGCUGAUUGUAUAUUACUCUGUAAUUAUUAAGUGUAUACUAUACUUGUAUAAAAUAAAUAAAUAUAUAUAUU